rnacentral:rRNA from 1 species
GACGAACGCUGGCGGCGUGCCUAAUACAUGCAAGUCGAGCGAAGUUUUUCUUGUCCUUGCACCGACAAAACUUAGAGGCGAAAGGAUGUGUCACACGUAAAGAACCAGCCCCAUAAACUGGGACAAAUAUUGGAAACGAUAGCUAAUAACAGAUAAUAGCAUUAACUGCAUGGUUGAUGUUUAAAAGUUGGUUUUGCUAACACUAUGAGAUGGCUUUGCGGUGCAUUAGCUAGUGGCUGGGGUAAAGGCCUACCAAGGGGACGAUGCAUAACCGACCUGAGAGGGUGAUCGGCCACACUGGAGCGGAGACACGGCCCAGACGCCUACGGGAGGCAGCAGUAGGGAAUCUGCCGCAAUGGGCGAAAGCCUGACGGAGCAACGCCGCGUGAGUGAAGAAGGAUUGCGGUGUGUAAAGCUCUGUUGUUAGGAAGAAUGAUUGUGUAGUAACUAGACGCAGUAGAGACGGUACCUAACCAGAAAGCCACGGCUAACUACGUG